rnacentral:misc_RNA from 1 species
GUGCAACCUGCUAGACAUGCGGAAUUUUCCUUCACAGGCAGCGCAUGCUCGCUGCUGGCAACAGGCGAGAAUGCCGCCUCAGUCCGCACAGUUUUUACUGCCGUAUGAAAGGCCAACCGUAUAAAACCAUUCGUCUUCAUUGCGUGCAAAACCCCAGUGAAACGCGGACAUGAAUGCCGUAAUCCUUCUUCUCUUCGUCAUCUGGACCGUGCUGUUCACGACGCGCAACAUCACACGUCGGAAGGACUCCUUGACGGAAGAAGAAAGGCGGCGAUUGGACGAACCGCUUUUCCUGACACCGUUUUUGGAUGCAAACGACACCGAAAAGGCACGGCAUCUCAGCAGAAUCACUCUCUUUGAAGAAGGUUACGGCGUUGAAGCGCACUCGGGCUACAUCACAAUUGACAAGACUCUAGGCAGCCACCUUUUCUUCCUACUUACAAAAACAAAGCAUUCCUUUCCCGACGAGGCCCCUCUGAUUCUCUGGACGUUCGGCGGUCCCGGUGUGUCCUCACUGCUCGGACCGUUGCUCUUCAACGGUCCCUUUACUUUAGAUGCGCAAGGACGACUCGUGGCGGCAUCUCCGGCAAGCGGUCAGCUGCAGUCGUUCGCGCACGUCCUCUACCUGGACCAUCCGGUCGGCAGUGGCUACAGCUUCGCCGAGCAAGAGGGUGACGACAGGACGUUCGCCAAGAGCAUCGACGACGCCGUCGACGCGGUCGACGACUUUCUGUGCCAGUUCGAGCUCCUCUUCCCCGAAUUUCGGGGCCGGCAGUUUUACUUCGCCGGAGAAUCGUACUCGGCGAGAGACGCCUUCGGCUUCGCCAACCGGUACCACGGUAAGGGGGUCAAGACGAGCCUGAAGUUGGCCGGCAUCAUGAGCGGUGCCGGUUUCAUCGCGCCGCUGCUGAGGGCCGCCAACCCCGCGAAAUUCCUGCUCCAGCUCGGGCUCAUCGACGUCCACGGGAGGCGGCUGUUGGACGAGAAGUUUAGGCAAAUGAAGGAAUCGGUGGACGACGAAGAGAUCAUCGUGGCUCUCUUACUGCUCAGGGAGGUGUUCACCAAGACAGAAGAGGACGGACCUUCGCUGUUCGAGUCGCUCACGGGGUUCCGCCACCGAGCAUCGGCGCUUCACUCCACGGAGCCACCAGAAUUCGCGACUUACCGGAAGUACGUCACGAGCGAAGACUUCAAGAGGGCCAUUCACGUGGGCGUCAACGCCACUAUGGACCGGCAGCGCAACAUUGUGAGCACCACCCUCUACUCGUACGACGCCUUCAAGGACGUCAGGGAGCUCAUGGCGACAGUGCUGGACAAGCAGCGAGUGCUUGUGUACGGCGGGAACAUGGACGUCGUCUAUCCGGCGGAUGACGUCUACGGGUUCCUGCGGUCUCUCCAAUGGAAAGGCGAAGAGGAUUUGAGGGUAGCGAGGAGAAGGCCGUACAGGAACGCAUCAGCCGCAGGAGGUGAAGUGGUGGGCUACAAGAUGAUUGUCCGCAACUUCACGUACGCGUUGCUCGUGAAUGCCGGUCACUACGUGUCACUGGACAGUCGCAGAGCAGUCGUGGAUCUCUACAGAGAUUUUGUGCGCUCCAACACCACUUCUACUUAGCGAACCGUUUCGUUUCCUCGUCCUACUAUGCAUACAACAUUUUACAAAUGCCCGACGAGGUUCUGAUGCGUCUCGUACCUCCGUGUGGCUUUGACAGCCCGCAGAAAAACAAUAAACGCUCCCUACAU